GAUGAAGAACGUAGCGAAAUGCGAUAAGUAGUGUGAAUUGCAGAAUUCAGUGAAUCAUCGAAUCUUUGAACGCACAUUGCGCCCUUUGGUAUUCCUUAGGGCAUGCCUGUUCGAGCGUCAUUUAAACCUUCAAGCUCAGCUUGGUGUUGGGUGACUGUCCGCUUCACCGCGGACUCGCCUCAAAAUUAUUGGCGGCCGGUACAUUGGCUUCGAGCGCAGCAGAAACGCGAACUCGGGCCCGUCAUAUUGGCUCCCAGAAGCUAUCUUCACAAUUUUGACCUCGGAUCAGGUAGGGAUACCCGCUGAACUUAAGCAUAUCAAUAAGCGGAGGA
rnacentral:misc_RNA from 1 species